rnacentral:rRNA from 2 species
UCUUARUGCUUGCACUAAGAUGAUUUUGGAUCCGACUGAGUGGCGAACUGGUGAGUAACACGUGGGUAACCUGCCCAGAAGAAGGGGAUAACACCUGGAAACAGAUGCUAAUACCGUAUAACAACAAGAACCACAUGGUUYUUGKUUGAAAGCUGGCCUUUGUGCUAGUGCUUCUGGAUGGACCCGCGGCGUAUUARCUAGUUGGUGAGAUAAUAGCUCACCAAGGCAAUGAUACGUAGCAGACCUGAGAGGGUAAUCUGCCACAAUGGGACUGARACACGGCCCAUACUCCUACGGGAGGCAGCAGUAGGGAAUCUUCCACAAUGGACGAAAGUCUGAUGGAGCAACGCCGCGUGAGUGAAGA